rnacentral:rRNA from 1 species
CCUACGGGUGGCAGCAGUGGGGAAUAUUGGACAAUGGGCGAAAGCCUGAUCCAGCCAUGCCGCGUGUGUGAAGAAGGCCUUCGGGUUGUAAAGCACUUCCAGUGGGGAAGAAAGCCUUGGGGCUAAUACCCUCGAGGAAGGACAUCACCCACAGAAGAAGCACCGGCUAACUCCGUGCCAGCAGCCGCGGUAAUACGGAGGGUGCGAGCGUUAAUCGGAAUUACUGGGCGUAAAGCGCGCGUAGGCGGUCUGAUAAGCCGGUUGUGAAAGCCCCGGGCUCAACCUGGGAACGGCAUCCGGAACUGUCAGGCUAGAGUGCAGGAGAGGAAGGUAGAAUUCCCGGUGUAGCGGUGAAAUGCGUAGAGAUCGGGAGGAAUACCAGUGGCGAAGGCGGCCUUCUGGACUGACACUGACGCUGAGGUGCGAAAGCGUGGGUAGCAAACAGGAUUAGAUACCCUAGUAGUC